rnacentral:rRNA from 1 species
AUACGGAGGAUCCGAGCGUUAUCCGGAUUUAUUGGGUUUAAAGGGUGCGCAGGCGGCCAUUUAAGUCAGCGGUUAAAUCGUGGGGCUCAACCCCAUUCUGCCGUUGAUACUGGGUGGCUUGAUUGCGGUCGAGGUUGGCGGAAUUCGUUGUGUAGCGGUGAAAUGCAUAGAUAUGACGAAGAACACCGAUUGCGUAGGCAGCUGACCAGACCGCAAAUGACGCUCAUGCACGAAAGUGCGGGGAUCGAACAGGAUUAGAUACCCUGGUAGUCCGCACAGUAAACGAUGAAUACUUGUUUUCGGCGAUAUAAUGUCGGAGGCAAAGCGAAAGCGAUAAGUAUUCCACCUGGGGAGUACGCCGGCAACGGUAAACUCAAAGGAAUUGACGGGG